rnacentral:rRNA from 1 species
UGGGGAAUUUUGGACAAUGGGGGCAACCCUGAUCCAGCCAUCCCGCGUGUGCGAUGAAGGCCUUCGGGUUGUAAAGCACUUUUGGCAGGGAAGAAACGGCGCUGGUUAACACCUGGCGCAACUGACGGUACCUGCAGAAUAAGCACCGGCUAACUACGUGCCAGCAGCCGCGGUAAUACGUAGGGUGCAAGCGUUAAUCGGAAUUACUGGGCGUAAAGCGUGCGCAGGCGGUUCGGAAAGAAAGAUGUGAAAUCCCAGAGCUUAACUUUGGAACUGCAUUUUUAACUCCCGAGCUAGAGUAUGUCAGAGGGGGGUAGAAUUCCACGUGUAGCAGUGAAAUGCGUAGAGAUGUGGAGGAAUACCGAUGGCGAAGGCAGCCCCCUGGGAUAAUACUGACGCUCAUGCACGAAAGCGUGGGGAGCAAACA